rnacentral:lncRNA from 1 species
UCCAUAGGUGGCAAGUUUCACAAGGUCAAAACAAAAAAUAAAUACAAGCUCUCCAUCAACCCAAGCUUACGUGAUCUUAAGCAAAUCUGUAAAAUGGGAAAGAAGAAAGUUAGAAGAAGAAGACUAGAAGAAGAAGAUUAUUAUGAUGCAACUAAAAUGUGAAGAUUAGUAUGAUGCAACUUAUAUCUGUAAAAUAGGUCAUUUUGGAGCUAAGUAUGGUUAUUAUGUCAUUUUUGAGCUAGCUAAGCAUACUAAGUCAUUUUGGUGUAAAACAUGCUAAUGUCAUUCUAGAGCUAAGUAAGGUUAUUAUGUCAUUUUGGAGCUAGCUAAGCAUGUGAAGUCAUUUAGGAGCUAAAAUAUGUCAUUUCUUAAGCAUAUUAUGUCAUUUUAGAGUUAGUUAAGCAUAUUAAGUCAUUUUGGAGGAAAAGAUGCUAAGUAUAGGUCAUUUUAGAGCUAUCCUAGGUUAAAUAGGUCAUUUUUAAGCUAGCUAAGCAUAUUAAGUCAUUUUGGAGGAAAAAUGCUAAGUAUAGGUCAUUUUAGAGCUAUCCUAGGUUAAAUAGGUCAUUUUGGAGCUAAUUAAGCUUAUUAUCUAAUUUUUUAGCUAGCUAAGCAUAUUGAGUCAUUUUGGAGGAAAAAAUGCUAAGUAUAGGUCAUUUUAGAGCUAUCCUAGGUUAAAUAGGUCAUUUUGGAGCUAAGUAAGGUUAUUAUGUCAUUUUGGAGCUAGCUAAGCAUAUGAAGUCAUUUAAGAGCUAAACUAUGUCAUUUCGUAAGCAUAUUAUGUCAUUUUAGAGCUAGUUAAGCAUACUAGUCGUCAACCCGUGCGCUUGCACGGGCUAGCUAGUUUUGAACCUAUAUAUAAAACUGUUGAUAGUUUUCAUGCAAAGACAUUCACUUACACUCGAGUGCUUCCAUGAUUUAGAUUAAGUUAGCAAAAAACAGAUGAAUGUUAAUUAAUUUGCACAUUUGGGACUUGUGUAAAAACGGUGUAAACCCUAGAUGUGACGCACCAUGAAGAUUGUUCUUGCCUAUAUUUAGCAAAGUAGUAGAGACUCUUUGGCUAAAAUGGUCAUGAUAUAAUAGGGAAAAUUCAUUAGUGAGAAAACACUAAAUUAACCAUAUAAUUGUCAUAUAUCCCAGUUUGUCUCUACCGUUUUGGUAAGUAUUGAUUAAUGAAUAAUUAAGUGCCAACUACUAUAUGAAAGUACUAUUACUACAUUUUUUUCUAUUCUAGCAAAUCAUGUACUACUUUGACUGACAUGAUUCACCAAUGUACUAGACGGACAGGAUGUAGUAUAUAUGAUCUAUGGAUUAUUAUGUGAUGUGACGUUUGUAAAAACCUAACUAAAUAUAACUUUAUUUCAUCCUCUUUGUUACAAUUUCACCACAUAGACAAAGGGAAGAGCAAAUUCAUCAAAAGUAUUUACACAACAUGGAAGUUUUGUACAAAACAAAUAUAAUCACAGAACAUUCGACAUCUGCUCAAUGAAAGUGAAGGGCAUACUCUAUGUACACAGAAAGAUUGAAAUGUUAAUAUAUUCGAAAGCGGAAUCUCUUAGCCUUUUACUUUUGUCCUUGCAAGAAUAGUAUAAUAAGAAACUUCAAAUUGGCUUGUUGAAAUGAACAACGAAGAAAGCCACACAAUACAUUUUGAGACCCAAGCUACAUAAUUCUGCAGGAGACAUUGCUAACACACACAAAAAUGAAGCGGUUCAUAUUAUCUAUGAAAUUUCACCAAAAAUAAUAAUAGACAAAACGUAUAUGCAUGUAUAUGGAGAACAUCAUACUGCAAGAUGAAGUGGAAAAUGACACUUGAUGAUCUCAACCAAUAAGGACAUGUACAGAAUCUGUAAGAAGAGAUAAUUAAAUGUGGGUGUAGGAGAAAAAUAUGUACAGACCCAGAAAAACAUAAUCAAAGACAAUACAUACUCUGCAAGUACAGAUUGUGCAAACAUCUGAUGCAUUGAGUAAACAUGGGAGGGCAGGUUAUAAUGCAUAUGUGAAGGACUGAAGGUUACAGUUAUACGGUUGUCAAUGAUAUGCAAUUAUAAUAAUCUUUAUAUUUAAAUUUCGUACCGUAACCUAAGAAUUUACAGCACACAUAAGGGAAAUGUUUCAGUAUGUACGAUCUAUAAGUGUUCAACUGAGUUACACGGACAUAUACAUUGAUAAUACACCCUCAAUUCUCUGCCGAGAAGAAAAAUCAAGGUUCAAUUUACUUGAGCAUUGACAUUGUCUUUGUACUGGAGUAGGAAAAUGUGCCUUAGUUACUGAUAUUUUCCAUAUGACCGAUAAUUUUAUCCACUGCAAAGUAGGAAAGAAGGGCAAUCCUAAAUGGCUCCACUUGAUAAUAUAGGUAUAGAGCAUAAUGCUUUGUGUGGUAGAAAUAAAAAUACAGCCUGCAAUAGAGAACUCAAGCUCUUGAAGAGAUGAAAGGCGAGUAAAACAUGAAUAUCUAUGAUUUGUCGAAAACAACUGGAGCUACCCAUAUACUGUGCAUGAGGAACGGAAACCUGGAGUUGGUGGAUAGAUCAUUGGAAUUGACUCAUCCUCUUUGCUGAUGGAUAGGGCGCCGCCACUAUCCAUCGAAUAUUUCAUAUAAUGCUCUGUACAACCUCACAAACCAAAUUUUUACUUGUAUUUUCCUCUUCUUGUUGUUUAUGGGUAGACAACCCCACAAAUUCCAUAGUUCAAUUGAGCUACUUCCCACCUUGUACAAUUGUUUUGUUGAAUAUAAGUAAAUGGAGUUGAAAUACUGCUCUGAAUAUCAUACUACAAACAACAUAUAAACAUAUGUAUCAGAAAUGAAAAAAAACAUCACUUACCAUACUGAACAUCCCAUUGUUCUGAUGUGUAUUUGGCACCAUUUCAAAUAGCAGAAUAAGAAAUAUGAUAAUGCCAAUAGAAUCCACUGAAUGCUUGAGGCACAAACGAAUCCUUCCCACGUCCACUUCUUG